UGGGGUGUCGCCAAGCGGUAAGGCAACGGACUUUGACUCCGUCAUUGCGCUGGUUCGAAUCCAGCCAUCCCAGCCA
rnacentral:tRNA from 1 species